rnacentral:rRNA from 1 species
AUUGAACGCUGGCGGCAGGCCUAACACAUGCAAGUCGAGCGGAUGAAGGGAGCUUGCUCCUGGAUUCAGCGGCGGACGGGUGAGUAAUGCCUAGGAAUCUGCCUGGUAGUGGGGGAUAACGUCCGGAAACGGGCGCUAAUACCGCAUACGUCCUGAGGGAGAAAGUGGGGGAUCUUCGGACCUCACGCUAUCAGAUGAGCCUAGGUCGGAUUAGCUAGUUGGUGGGGUAAAGGCCUACCAAGGCGACGAUCCGUAACUGGUCUGAGAGGAUGAUCAGUCACACUGGAACUGAGACACGGUCCAGACUCCUACGGGAGGCAGCAGUGGGGAAUAUUGGACAAUGGGCGAAAGCCUGAUCCAGCCAUGCCGCGUGUGUGAAGAAGGUCUUCGGACUGUAAGGCACUUUAAGUUGGGAGGAAGGGCAGUAAGUUAAUACCUUGCUGUUUUGACGUUACCAACAGAAUAAGCACCGGCUAACUUCGUG